UUUGGAGGGCAAGUCUGGUGCCAGCAGCCGCGGUAAUUCCAGCUCCAAUAGCGUAUAUUAAAGUUGUUGCAGUUAAAAAGCUCGUAGUUGAAUUUCGGGAUCAAUAUUUCGGUCAUGCCGUUGGUAUGCACUGUUAUCAUUGAUUUCUCACCUUCUAAAGAACCGUAAUGCCCAUUAAUUUGGUGUUACGGGGAAUUAGGACUGUUACCUUGAAAAAAUUAGAGUGUUUAAAGCAGGACAAUUUAUUUAC
rnacentral:rRNA from 1 species